UGGAAAUUCAUGUUUCCAAUUUUGUAUUUAUUUUUCUUAUGAUACAGUAUACUGUAAAUUUGAAUAAUAUUUGUGUGCUUAUAGUGAGCUUAUUUUUAGGAGAGUUUGUUGCGAGGCAGCAUAUAUUUUGAUAUUUCAAAAUAUUACUGUAUAUUGGUAUGUUAUAUUUAAUGCUUUUGGAAGGGUUAUAGGGGUCGGGUGUGAUAUACUUUUUCAGGUAUUUUGUGUCUGAUGUAUGUAAGAGCUUUAUUACUGGGUUUCUUGGUGAGACCUUAUAUCUUAUGUGUCCUAUAACCCUCUGUAAUUAUAAUUUCGGAUUAUUGCAUACAUUCUAAUUGUAUUUUUUUGUAGGAGUCCAAAGAUGUAAAUGAUACAAUUUCAAACUUAUCACAACCCAUAUUGUGGCCGCUGGCAGCGAACUAGAAUACGACUAGAAACUGUCAAUCAUACGUUAUCGAGGGAAAGGAUGAAAGUUCCAUAACAAGAAACAGUUGUUUUGAUGCAAUUAUCGCCUUAUUGGCAAGUUUUUACAUCUUCAAUAUUGAGUACUGCCACACAAAGAGCAUCUUGUCCCAGUGCAUGGCCAACACCGAAAAUGGCAUACAACUGCCAAUAGUGAGUUUAAGCAAGUGAUGUUUUUGACAACACGGACUUCGACCGGAGGUAAAGUUGACGUUUUUUACCAAUCACAGUCCUUGACCCAGUAUUCUGACGUUGCUCAUGCCGUCAGUGUUGUCAAAAACGUCACUUGCUUAAGCUCACUAAUGAGGGUCACAGCCUUCUUCAAUGACUUGUCAUGACUCAUGAAUAUUAGUACUACUGUAAUUUUACACUUUUUGAGAGUUAUGUUGACAUAUGCUAAC